rnacentral:rRNA from 1 species
AAUCUGCCUGGUAGUGGGGGAUAACGUCCGGAAACGGGCGCUAAUACCGCGUACGUCCUACGGGAGAAAGCAGGGGAUCUUCGGACCUUGCGCUAUCAGAUGAGCCCAGGUCGGAUUAGCUAGUAGGUGAGGUAAUGGCUCACCUAGGCGACGAUCCGUAACUGGUCUGAGAGGAUGAUCAGUCACACUGGAACUGAGACACGGUCCAGACUCCUACGGGAGGCAGCAGUGGGGAAUAUUGGACAAUGGGGGCAACCCUGAUCCAGCCAUGCCGCGUGUGUGAAGAAGGUCUUCGGAUUGUAAAGCACUUUAAGUUGGGAGGAAGGGCUUUAGGUUAAUACCCUGAAGUUUUGACGUUACCAACAGAAUAAGCACCGGCUAACUCUGUGCCAGCAGCCGCGGUAAUACAGAGGGUGCAAGCGUUAAUCGGAAUUACUGGGCGUAAAGCGCGCGUAGGUGGUUCAGUAAGAUGGGUGUGAAAUCCCCGGGCUUAACCUGGGAACUGCUUUCAUAACUGCUGAGCUAGAGUACGGUAGAGGGUAGUGGAAUUUCCUGUGUAGCGGUGAAAUGCGUAGAUAUAGGAAGGAACACCAGUGGCGAAGGCGACUACCUGGACUGAUACUGACACUGAGGUGCGAAAGCGUGGGGAGCAAACAGGAUUAGAUACCCUGGUAGUCCACGCCGUAAACGAUGUC